rnacentral:rRNA from 1 species
UACGGGGGGGGCAAGCGUUGUUCGGAAUUACUGGGCAUAAAGGGCUCGUAGGCGGCCAACUAAGUCGGAUGUGAAAUCCCCAGGCUCAACUUGGGAACUGCAUCCGAUACUGGAUGGCUUGAAUUCGGGAGAGGGAUGCAGAAUUCCAGGUGUAGCGGUGAAAUGCGUAGAUAUCUGGAGGAAUACCGGUGGCGAAGGCGGCAUCCUGGACCGACAUUGACGCUGAGGUGCGAAAGCGUGGGGAGCAAACAGG